UACAGAGGGUGCGAGCGUUGUCCGGAAUCACUGGGCGUAAAGGGCGCGUAGGUGGCGCUCCAAGUCCGUGGUGAAAGCUCGAUGCUCAACAUCGAGUCGGCCACGGAGACUGGAGGGCUCGAGCACUGUAGGGGCAGAUGGAAUUCCGGGUGUAGCGGUGGAAUGCGUAGAGAUCCGGAAGAACACCGGUGGCGAAGGCGGUCUGGCUGGGCAGUUGCUGGACG
rnacentral:rRNA from 1 species